rnacentral:ncRNA from 2 species
GCUUCUAGUCCGGGACGCUUGUCUG